GUGCGAGCGUUAAUCGGAAUUACUGGGCGUAAAGCGUGCGCAGGCGGUUUUGUAAGACAGGCGUGAAAUCCCCGAGCUCAACUUGGGAAUGGCGCUUGUGACUGCAAGGCUAGAGUAUGUCAGAGGGGGGUAGAAUUCCACGUGUAGCAGUGAAAUGCGUAGAGAUGUGGAGGAAUACCGAUGGCGAAGGCAGCCCCCUGGGACGUCACUGACGCUCAUGCACGAAAGCGUGGGGAGCAAACAGGAUUAGAUACCCUGGUAGUCCACGCCCUAAACGAUGUCAACUAGUUGUUGGGGAUUCAUUUCUUCAGUAACGUAGCUNACGCGUGAAGUUGACCGCCUGGGGAGUACGGUCGCAAGAUUAAAACUCNAAGGAAUUGACGGGGACCCNCACAAGCGGUGGAUGAUGUUGGAUUAAUUCGAUGCAACGCGAAAAACUUACCUACCCUUGACAUGCCACUAACGAAGCC
rnacentral:rRNA from 1 species